CGGUGGAAACCUGAGCUGAACGACUCCCCGGCUACAACUUCCUCUGAGCCAAAAACAAACGCUUUUUGCAGAAGCCAGCUUUUAGACAGCCAUUUUUAAAAGGUCAAAGCCUGCUUGUAUAUGAAAAGGCUCUGAGAAACAUUUGAGGAAUGUAGUUUCAGAUGUUUUCUCAGGGCGUUCAAUCGAUCGCAACUGGACUGUUUGGUUUUUCGUAGCAGACGUUUCACCUCUCGUCCACACAAGACUUCAAAGAUAACGAGGGGAAGUUACACUUCAAGGACUUCCCUUGACAUUGACAGUUUCGGUGAGAAAAUUGUGGUAAAAAGUCGCCUCUUACCGGAGAUCUGUGGAGUUUGCACCGUCCUUGUGUCUGCCGUCGAAUUCCCUCAGACACUGGCCUCAAGACACCCGUGGACAUGUAACAGAGGUAAUUUAUGAUCUCAAUUGCUUACGGUCUUACUACUGUUUUUGUUUUAAUGUCAUUUUAUUUUAAUGUCAUUUUAUCUAAUUUAUUACAUUCAGACAUUAUGUAAUGUGACUCUUUAUUUCGCAAUUUUUAUUAUUCUAAGUUCAGUACUGUCAUUUCCUACAUUAUUAUGGUCAUUGAACGUCACAUGUCACAGCAGACUUCCAGGCUGAGACACAUGUGUGUCGUCAGUCUGUUGUCUUCCACGUGACGGUAAGUUGCGCUCUCUGAAUUAGCUUUCAGCUAACUCAUUAGCAGGCUAGCUGUAAGCCUAAAAGAGAAGUAUUUAUGUUAAGUUUUGUUUUGUUUUAUUUCUGUACAGAUUUAUGAAUGUUAAGAAGGCUGAUUGGAGACUCACUAUGAUUGUUUUAACCAGGUACUGUGUAUUAUUUUGUCGUGUGUUAAUGUGUUAAUCAGUCUGUUGUCUUCCACGUGACGAUUUAUGAAUGUUAAGAAGGCUGAUUGGAGACUCACUAUGAUUGUUUUCACCAGAAUGAACCAUGUUUGAGUCGGAAGAAUGACUGUGUGUCGUCUUUUGGGGAAAAAUACAACGCAAAGGAGUACUACAUCGCUACAGACACACCCCUCCGACUAUCAGCUGUCAAAGAGGCAGCUGCGACUUUCUUGGCUCCCCCGUGGCUUCCCUCAGAGACACUGGCGGUCACCACACCCCUCUGAUUUUCAGAGAGUGUAGUGCACAACUGCCCACACAACAAGGAGACGAAGCAGAAGAACGAGGAAGAUACAGCCGUGGCGACGCCGACGACAAGUAAGAUGAAGAAAUACGCUUGUAAGUUCCAAGCCGCAGCUGCGAUUGGACCUGGAUAGCCUCCGGGAAGAAGUAGUGGACUACCAAGUGCUUGCCAGUGAAGAUCUUCCUCAGGAAGCAAAGAUUGAAUGGUUUUGGGCCAUGCUAGGGAGAGAUGGAAGAUUCCAGGCUAUAGUGCAUUUGAUGAAAGCACUUUUGUGUGUGCCACACAGCAAUGCAUCAUCAGAGAGGGUGUUCAGCAUGGUUAGAAAAAUAGUGACAGAGAAUAGAACAAGGAUGGACAAUUCAACCCUUAACUCAACAAUUAAUAGAUGAGUGUUGUGUGUAUAUGUGUAAAUAAAUGAACAUUUAAAAUACAAGUAUUUCUCAAAUUUAUAUAUGUAUGUAUAUAUAUGUAUGUGUGUAUAUAUAUAUAUAUAUAUAUAUACAUAUAUAUAUGAAAUACUUGACUUGGUGAAUUCUAGCUGUAAAUAUACUCUUCCCCUCUUAAUCGCGCCCCCAACCACGCCCCUGCCUCCCCGAAAUCGGAGGUUCCAAGGUUGGCAAGGAUGCUCAUUGCCACUGUCAAAAAUGAGAAAAAUGAGUGUAACUAAUGAGGUAUUUCACACCUAGAAGUUUGUUAUUUAUUUUGUUCAAUCCCGGAUAGGCUGUGACUUCAUGUUUAUCGGCUAUGAAGAUACACUGAGACAAAGUCCUAAGUUCGUUGUGUUUUUCAAACCACACACAUUUUUUUCCCCUCAGAAUUUGAACUGUUCUGUCAAAAGGAUUAUUUUCAGAAUAUGCUUGUUCUAUUUUUGGCCAAAGUGAAACAAAGAAAACAGUCUGAGGUCGUCUUUGCUUUUUAGUUAUCAUGCCAUGAUUUUUACCUGUCCGGCCCACCUGGGAAUAGAUUUUCCUCCAUGUGGCCCCCGAGUUUGCCACCUGUGCUCUGAGUGAAGCCGCAGUCGUGGAUGUGAAUAUGAGCCGUAGUCCUGCUUCAGUCCUAACCGGGUGUCGUCUUCUCCUCCUCACGUCUUGGUCUCCUCCUCGCCCUCCAGCUCCUGCUGCUCCUUGGCAUCAGCUUCCUUCAGCUUCUCCUGCACGUGCUCGGGAAUCUCCACCUCCAUCAGGUUCUCCAUGCCCUCCUCGGGCUCGUCACCUAUCAGCACCUGCAAGGAGGAGGACAGGCGAGGGAGCACUUUUGAGGUUCACUGAGCAACAGAGUCUCCAGCAGCAUCUUCCUGAUGUCGGCGUCCUCUUCUCUCUUCUUGUCCUCCGGGAGGUACUGGAGGUCGACCGGCAGACCUGCACGUCGUCGUCAUGGUCAAGUUCUAGUCUCAACAGCGCAUGGAAAAAACACCCACCCUCGUUUUCUUCCUCGCUCAGCUCCUCUGGACCAGCCAGUGGCAGCAGCAGGAAGGGCAGGAUGUCCACUGCGUCGCUUAGCAACCACUCGUGAUUGGCUGGGAGGUUACAAAGAAGAUAUAGGGGUCACACGUAUUAAUGACACAGGCUUUCUGCAGGUGUCAGCAAAUCUAAUUUAAUGCUUUUUAAUGCAUUUUGUAAGCAACUUGUUGCACGCGACCAGUCUUAUAAACACACUUGUCAAUCCCUAUUUUUUUUGGAUGACAUAUAAAGUAAAGGCCAAAGGUUUGGACACACCUUCUCAUUCAAUGGGUUUUCUUUAUUUUCAUGACUAUUUACAUUGUAGAUUGUCACAUCAAAACUAUGAAUGAACACAUGUGGAGUUAUGUACCGUAUUUUCCGCACUAUAAGGUGCACUGGAUUAUAAGGUGCACCUUCAACGAAUGGCCAAUUUUAAAACUUUGUUUAUAUAUAAGGCGCCCCACAUUAUAAGGCGCAUAGAAUAGAUGCUACAGUAGAGGCUGGGGUUACGUUAUGCAUCUUUUAGAUGGAGCUGCGCUAAAGGCAAUGCCAACAAAACAGUCAGAUAGGUCAGUCAAACUUUAUUAAUAGAUAACAAACCAACGUUCUGACAACUCGGUUCACUCCCAAAAUGAAUAAACAGCUGUUUUAUUAUUUUCCCUGAUUCAAUAAACAUGUAAAAAACAGUCUGAUACUGUUACGGUAAAUCAAACGUUACUGCAAUCACAAUUUAGUAACACUGGAAAUAGUGCAAAGAAAUAAUAUAUCAAUAAAUCAACGUUGCUCAAACGAUAAUGUCACACAACAUAACACACAAAAUAAUGAUGUAAAGCUCACUUUAUUAAGUUAUUCCUCAUCCAUGAAUCCCUCAAAUUCUUCUUCUUCAGUGUUCGAAUCAAACAGUUGGGCGAAUACGGCAUCCAACAUGCCCGGCUCCGUCUCGUCGAAGUCGUCAUUAAACGAGUCAGUGUCACUGCUGUUAAUGUUCAAUUAUUUCGCUGCUGCUCUAUUCCCGUCUUCUACUGUGUGACUCAUCGCCUUGAAUUUAAACUCUGCGUCGUAAGUGUGUCUUUACAUAAAUACACAAAAACGGCACACCUCCCGCAGUCAUAUAUCCCAGCAUGCACCGCGCGCUUCUUCUUCUACGGGGGAAAAUGAAGUUGGCAGCUGCUUAUCGUACAAGAAGAAGCGCACUUCUUCUACGGGGAAAAAUUAAGUCGGUGGCUGCUUAACGGAGUUGCGAGAUCUGUUGUGGCUCAAUGUUGGUCCAUAUAUAAGGCGCACUGUCAGCUUUUGAGAAAAUUUGAGGUUUUUAGGUGCACCUUAUAGUGCGGAAAAUACGGUACUUAACAAAAAAAGGCGAAAUAACAGAAAACAUGUUUUAAAUUCUAGUUUCUUCAAAAUAGCCACCCUUU